UAUCUCUGUAGAGUCUGCAUAUCAAUAAGCGGAGGAAAAGAAACUAACAAGGAUUCCCUUAGUAACGGCGAGUGAAGCGGGAAGAGCUCAAAUUUGAAAUCUUCAAGGUUCUACCUUGACGAAUUGUAGUUUAAAGAAGUGUUUUCUGUUAGAUGAGUAGCAAAAGUUCCUUGGAAUGGGACAUCAUAGAGGGUGAGAAUCCCGUAUUUGGUUAUUCAUUCUAGCUUUGUGAUACACUUUCGAAGAGUCGGAUUGUUUGGGAAUGCAGUCCAAAAUGGGUGGUAAAUUUCAUCUAAAGCUAAAUAUUGGCGAGAGACCGAUAGCGAACAAGUACCGUGAGGGAAAGAUGAAAAGAACUUUGAAAAGAGAGUUAAACAGUACGUGAAAUUGUCAAAAGGGAAGCGUUUGACACCAGUGUUGUUUUUCCAAAAAUCAAUUACGAAUGGCUUGAUUUUGUGUUGUAUUGACCUUAUCAGCUUUCUGCACUUUUUUCGAGUCUUUCUUAAUGCACUUUUUGGUUAACAAGUCAACAUCAAUUUCUUUUGUUGUAAAAGAGUAUUCGGAAGGUGGCUUUCUUUUCGGAGAAAGUGUUUAUAGCCCUAUACUUCUACAAUCGGAGAGAUUGAGGUCUGCAGCGUAGAUCCUUCGGGGUUAGAUACACUUGUGCUAAGUUGUAGCUUUUCAUAGACAACUUGUUGACUAUGUUUAGUCAUGCGGCUUGCUCGCUUGUGCUAUUUUACCUACGCUUAGGAUGUUGACUGAUAUGUAGUCGUA
rnacentral:rRNA from 1 species